rnacentral:misc_RNA from 1 species
AAAGUCAUUAUUUUUAUGAAACCCUUCUGUGUAUUUUUACCUGUUUGGCUUCUGGUAAAAUAGAGUAUAAAAACUCUGCCAGAAUAAAAAUGUUUAAACUAUUAUUUUCAAUGAUAUCUGUCUGAUUUGCUAUAAAAAACAAAUAUUA